AAUGAACGCUGGCGGCAUGCCUAACACAUGCAAGUCGAACGAAGGCUUCGGCCUUAGUGGCGCACGGGUGCGUAACGCGUGGGAAUCUGCCCUUGGGUUCGGAAUAACAGUUAGAAAUGACUGCUAAUACCGGAUGAUGUCGUAAGGCCAAAGAUUUAUCGCCCAAGGAUGAGCCCGCGUAGGAUUAGCUAGUUGGUGGGGUAAAGGCCUACCAAGGCGACGAUCCUUAGCUGGUCUGAGAGGAUGAUCAGCCACACUGGGACUGAGACACGGCCCAGACUCCUACGGGAGGCAGCAGUGGGGAAUAUUGGACAAUGGGCGAAAGCCUGAUCCAGCAAUGCCGCGUGAGUGAUGAAGGCCUUAGGGUUGUAAAGCUCUUUUACCCGGGAUGAUAAUGACAGUACCGGGAGAAUAAGCUCCGGCUAACUUCGUG
rnacentral:rRNA from 1 species